GGCACUUGUGUUUGUUUUUGUCUAACUGUGGACAAAGACUUAGAGACAGGUGCAAAAAAAAAAAAUCCUCUUUUGCAACCCAGAACUCAUUGCUAAGUAUGAGUUUUGAUACAUGUAAGAAGGAAUAUC
ensembl:snoRNA